rnacentral:rRNA from 1 species
UACGGGGGGGGCAAGCGUUGUUCGGAAUUACUGGGCGUAAAGGGCUCGUAGGCGGCCAACUAAGUCGGAUGUGAAAUCCCCAGGCUCAACCUGGAGACGCCACCCGAUACUGCUGUGGCUAGAGUCCGGUAGGGGAGCGUGGAAUUCCUGGUGUAGCGGUGAAAUGCGCAGAUAUCAGGAGGAACACCAGCGGCGAAGGCGGCGCUCUGGGCCGGUACUGACGCUGAGGAGCGAAAGCGUGGGGAGCAAACAGG